rnacentral:lncRNA from 1 species
UAUUCACCUUCAUAAUCUCCAACUGUAGUACUGUGCCCUCACAACUUUCAGCACACAAUUACCCUUAUUCCAAUCACUGGAAUUCUUCACACAGAAUUGCCAUUUCUUAUUACGGUAUUUCACACAAAUAUAGACUCAUUCUCUCUGUUAAACUACAAUCAGAUUUCAGCAUUCAAUCUUUCUUCUUUUCAAAUAAUACCAAUUACAUUUCCAUUCCAUAAUUCACUUCACAAUAUUCAAAAACUCUCAAUCCUCUUAUUCAAAGAAAAUAACAAACAAAAGAAAAGAGGUAGUACCAAGCUUAUCCCAGCUCACAACUAUCACAGCGAUGGCCCUCGGCUCAUGACUAUCACAGUUUGGCACCUUAAUUAACUUCUACAAAUCUUAUAUACUUUCCCAUCAUUCUCCAGAUUUUAACCGUAAUUCUGUAAUUAAUGACUUUUAAGAACUAAAUCACUCAUCCGUCCUCCUGAAUUUCCUAUUAUAUGGACUAUUAAUAUAUUUUAUCAAUAUCUUUCAAAAACAAAUUAAUAUCUAUUCUACAUUGCCCCACUCCUAUCUAUGCAGCAUCCUCGCAAAUACUCAAUUGAUUCCUAUCUAAAAAUUAUUUAACAAAACUCUACAAAAAUUGUGAUCCCUCUAGCCUAUCUAAUUAAUCAAUUGCCGCAGU